UACGGGGGGGGGUAAGCGUUGUUCGGAAUUACUGGGCGUAAAGGGCUCGUAGGCGGCCAACUAAGUCGGACGUGAAAUCCCUCAGCUUAACUGGGGAACUGCGUCCGAUACUGGAUGGCUUGGAUUUGGGAGAGGGAUGCGGAAUUCCAGGUGUAGCGGUGAAAUGCGUAGAUAUCUGGAGGAACACCGGUGGCGAAGGCGGCAUCCUGGACCAAUAUUGACGCUGAGGAGCGAAAGCCAGGGGAGCAAAACGGGG
rnacentral:rRNA from 1 species